rnacentral:rRNA from 1 species
UACGUAGGGUGCGAGCGUUAAUCGGAAUUACUGGGCGUAAAGUGUGCGCAGGCGGCCGAGCAAGUCGAGUGUGAAAGCCCCGGGCUUAACUUGGGAAUUGCGCUCGAAACUACUUGGCUGGAGUGUGGCAGAGGAAGGUGGAAUUCCAGGUGUAGCGGUGAAAUGCGUAGAGAUCUGGAGGAACACCGAUGGCGAAGGCAGCCUUCUGGGCCAACACUGACGCUCAUGCACGAAGGCGUGGGGAGCAAACAGG